rnacentral:ncRNA from 1 species
AAACUCCGAGCCAUUGAAGGUUCCCCGCAAGGGGAUUGAAAGGGAAUCCGGUGCCAGGUCUUUGACCUGAAUUCCGGGGCUGCCCCCGCAACUGUAAUCGGCGAGCGUUUCGCCAACUCAUGCCACUGGAUGCGUCCGGGAAGGCGGGUGAAACGCGUUGAGCCGAGAGCCAGGAGACCUGCCUCAAUGUGUCCUUUUCA